rnacentral:rRNA from 1 species
UACAGAGGGUGCGAGCGUUAAUCGGAAUUACUGGGCGUAAAGCGUGCGCAGGCGGUCUUGCAAGACAGAUGUGAAAUCCCCGGGCUCAACCUGGGAACUGCAUUUGUGACUGCAAGGCUGGAGUGCGGCAGAGGGGGAUGGAAUUCCGCGUGUAGCAGUGAAAUGCGUAGAUAUGCGGAGGAGCACCGAUGGCGAAGGCAAUCCCCUGGGCCUGCACUGACGCUCAUGCACGAAAGCGUGGGGAGCAAACAGG